CCUACGGGGGGCAGCAGUAGGGAAUAUUGCUCAAUGGGGGAAACCCUGAAGCAGCAACGCCGCGUGGAGGAUGAAGGUUUUCGGAUUGUAAACUCCUUUUGUUAGAGAAGAUAAUGACGGUAUCUAACGAAUAAGCACCGGCUAACUCCGUGCCAGCAGCCGCGGUAAUACGGAGGGUGCAAGCGUUACUCGGAAUCACUGGGCGUAAGGAGCGCGUAGGCGGGAUAGCAAGUCAGAUGUGAAAUCCUAUGGCUUAACCAUAGAACUGCAUUUGAAACUGGUAUUCUAGAGUAUGGUAGAGGUAGGUGGAAUUCUAGGUGUAGGGGUAAAAUCCGUAGAGAUCAAGAGGAAUACUCAUUGCGAAGGCGACCUGCUAGAACAUAACUGACGCUGAUGCGCGAAAGCGUGGGGAGCAAACAGGAUUAGAUACCCUUGUAGUC
rnacentral:rRNA from 1 species